CCUGGAAAGACCUCUAAGCCUCAACAUUGAAUCCAUAUGAAACCAUGACAUCUUAACUGGGUCUUGGAGCCUAAAGGAACAAAGUAGAGCAGAGCUUUUUCAUGUGGACAUCAACUCCUUCAAGUCUGUUCUGAGUUCCGACCAUUCAAAUGCUAACUAGUAUGUAUGGCGCAGUUUUGACUUUCGAACAUCACAUCUCUUUCUACGCGAAACCUGCAUCUCGCACGUGCAAAACAAGAAACUCCACCCGUGUGUAGACUCAACUCCCUUGUUUAAGAACAUGCCCGCCGCCAAAACAAGAAACUAACCACAAUACCAGACACAGACACAAAUUGUAAGAAAAGCGAAGAGUGAGGUCAAAAUGGAAAGAAGAAGAAGCUGUUUUUGUUGUUGAUGCUGAGAAGCUGAGGUUCGAAUUCCUUCAGGUCCUGCGUGGUAGAAGUACUACUGAAGGUUUGGUUUUCAGUUCCAUUGCUUGUGGAACCUGCAAAGCCAAUGAAGGAUCCCUUGUUUCAAAAGAGAAUCCACGACCAACUUUCAGUGAGGCAAUGAAGUCUUGUCUGAAAGUAGAGAUUGAAAAUUCCUAGAGCUUAAUCAAAGAGGAGAAUCUUUAUUUGACUAUUGAGGUAAAUCUUGCAUGAAUUGCUAUAUAAUUUUGUUUCUAUAUUGUUAAUCUUGCAGUACAUUGGGUAAUUUAUUUAGUUUUUGAAAUGUGUUUGAUGCAUGGGAGAAGUAUGUUAUUAUUGUGUUGAGGUAAUUGAUAAGUAAGAGAGCACAUCUGUUUGCCGGUGCUGUUUUUGAGAAUGAAAGGGAGCAAAGAAAGAAAAUGUGCUGUUGUUUUUCUACAUAGCACAUAUAAGUGUAAAGACUGGUUGCAACUUGCUCGAGGUAUUUAAUUGUUCCGAGUUUGUAAAAUAGAAGAUUUUAUAUUAGAUUUUUUACUCCCCCUCGACUUGAACCUGAUUAUGCAUAAACUAAACCCGAUCUAAUUGAGUUUCGGAUAUCUAUUAGGUAUCUAUUAGAUAUUCAUAUUCGAACCUAAAACUAGAAUCAUAGAAUGUGUCGUGCAUUUGAUAAAUCUUACAAAAAAUUAGAUGGAUUAUCUUUUCAUCAAAUGAUUCAAACAUAGCAAUUUAAAAUUCAUUCAAAUUUGCAUUGAUGAUAUAGAUUAACAAUAGAAAUAGACAAUAGAUAUUCAGACAAUAAUAUACUAAUUGAGAGGGAGUGCAUUUCAACUACCAGAUAAAAGAAGUAGCAAAUACACCUUUUAAAUAAUAAAAGAAGAACAUUUAGCAACAAAUUCUUUAAGUAAAACAGGUUCAAUUCCAAGAAAAUAUUUUCUAAUGACCACAAGUGUUUAACAAAGGUACUUGUUUCUUUGAAAAAAUCUACAACCUACAUAAUUUCCCAAUAAAUAACCUUAAAUAUCAUGAGAUUGCAUUUUCUAUUAAUAUCAUGUAUUAUAUCUCAUUUGUUAUCAUACAAUUGAACAUCAAACUAAAACUCUAACUCAUACCCAUCCACUUGAUCCAACAUUAGUGAUAUGGUGUGCAUGAAUAAAAAUACAUAUGAGAAGUAAAAUAUUAUAUCAAACAUUCCAAAUUGAGAUUUCAUUUCCUUUAUGGCAAUAAUUAUUUUUAUAGUAUAAACUCCAAGCCUCCUUCACUACAAUCAAAAUCAUUAAAUAUAGUGGCAUAAUUAUUACAAUUUAAUGUUGUUCCAUCUAAAAUCAAUGCAUACAAUAAAAGUUAGGAAUAUGUUCCAAUAAAUUGUUAAAAUGCAUAUAACCAUAAUAAAACAUAAAUAUUUAUUAAUUUACCUCGAGCUUUAAUAUACAAUAACCAAUUUUAUAUUGUAGAUACAAGGAUAACUAAUAAAUCUCUAGCAAUGAAUUGUAGGAUUGUGUAUCUACCACCUUGAACUUUCCACCAUGUCAGAUUAUCAAAAUCAUCUUUUCUUCGCAAAACAUCAUCUAAAUAAUGAUCCAAUUUAUUCAAAGCAUGUGAACUUUUUGUUCUUUUCAUUUGCAUCAUAUAGCUAUCAAAUUUAGCCAAAUCAUAACUUCAAUCUACAGAGCUAACAUCUAAAUGUUGAGUCAUAUAUGAUUGAAGAUCACCUUCUUUUGCCUUGAAGCAUAAAAACCCACCAAAUCAUAACAAAGACGAUGAAUCUUAUCCUCGUGCUUUGCAUGUUCACUCCCGUGUACUUUAGGAAGAUAACAUUUAAUCAAAGUCAUUUUAUAUUGUGGAUCAAGUACAUCUGCAACUCCUAUUAGACCAUGAAUGUUAUCCUAAUACUUAUAAUUUUUUUUCCAACAUUUUGAUUGUCAUGUUUGAUAUUUCUUCAAUAUGAUAAGAAAUCUAAUUUUACAAUGUCAAUCUAAUCAAAGAAAUAUUAGGAAAGUAUAGAUUAGUCGUAGGAUACAUAAUCAUGAAAAACAUUUAUGACCUUAUAAAAUAUCUUCAACUGAUCACAGAUUAAAUUUGCAAACUCCCAAUCAAAUUCACUUGGAAAAUUAUUAUAUUGGGUUUCUGAUUGCUUAAGUCGAGAAAAUACAUUUUUAUAAAUCAAAAGGUCUUAACCAUUAAAUAUAUUGAAUUCCACCUUAUUGGAUAAUCAAAAAUCAGCUUUUUAGUUAUAGGAAUACAAACAUGACAAAUAUUUUCCUCAAACUUUUCUUCUCUCUUAAGUGAAGUUGUCCAAUAAAGUACACUUUCUUUGAUUAUUUCAAUCCCCCUAUUAAUUAUUCCCAACCUGUCUUUCACUAUCAAGUUCAAAAUAUGAGCAUAACACCUCGUAUGAAUAGAAUCACUAUUCAAUAUCAAUGAACUAGCUUAUAAUUUAUCUUUAAAAUCAUAUAACAAUGCAUCAUUAGUUGAGAAAUUAUCUAAUGUAAUAAUUGACAAGUUAAUAUCAACAUUCCAGUCAAUGAAGGACUCAAGUAAAACUUUAACUAGCACUUUUUAUGUGUGUGGUCAUGACACAUAAAUAAGUCUAAAUAAAAAAAAAAUAAUAAAUAUACAUAAUAAAUAAUUGCAAAAGCUACUAACAACACAUAUUAAAUAAAUCUUACCUCAAUAUAUAACUUUGUAAUUUUCAUUCAUCAUCAAUGAAGUGAGUUGUAAUGAUCUUGAACCUUUUUUCUGAUAGUUCGAAGUCCACAUGUUAAUUGUAAUUAUUACUCUACCAAUAUUGUUCUUUAACUUGUGCAUUAACCUUGCUCCUCAUCAUCAUGAACUUUUAAAAUGUCAAUUUUUUUAUGGUAUUUCAGCAAGAAACCUUGAACAAAGGUUGAAGUGCAUUCAGGAAUCUUCAAAAUCCAACAUGGUCCACCAUAAAAAAUGGGUAUUCAUGUAAAAUAAUGGUACUCACAAGCUCUCUCCUAGAUAUCUCUUCAUUAAAAUUGUAUGUAACUAAUGGUUUACUCUCUUUUUAUGGGAAUAUUUUUUUGUAAUAAUUUCUUGUUGCACAUCAUGCUAUUUUCUCAUAUUACAAGUCAUAUAAUGGCUACGUAAAUGACUUGUUCUAGAUUUUGAAUUCCUAGAAAGUAUCCUGGAAUAAUAAUUGCAUUUUGCUUUGACACCUCAUCCAUAUAUUGCUUUGUAAAAUGCUCCCACACAAAACUUCUUGCUUUUCCAGCAUUAAUAUUCUCUUGACCAACAUUGCUAACCUCCUCACUUAUAGUGUUUGGUGUUGAAGACUUGUAUGGUUUUGGAUUAAAGGCAUAUUUUUCUGUUGGCAUGUAUU